rnacentral:rRNA from 1 species
CCUACGGGAGGCAGCAGUAGGGAAUCUUUCACAAUGGGCGAAAGCCUGAUGGAGCAACGCCGCGUGCAGGAUGAAGGCCUUCGGGUUGUAAACUGCUUUUAUAAGCGAGAAAUAUGAUGGUAACUUAUGAAUAAGAAUCGGCUAACUACGUGCCAGCAGCCGCGGUCAUACGUAGGAUCCGAGCAUUAUCCGGAGUGACUGGGUGUAAAGAGUUGCGUAGGUGGCAUAAUAAGUAGCUAGUGAAAUCUGGUGGCUCAACCAUUCAGACUAUUAGCUAAACUGUUAAGCUCGAGACCGUUAGGGGUAACUGGAAUUUCUAGUGUAGGAGUGAAAUCCGUAGAUAUUAGAAGGAACACCAAUAGCGUAGGCAGGUUGCUGGGACGGUUCUGACACUAAGGCACGAAAGCGUAGGGAGCAAACGGGAUUAGAUACCCCUGUAGUC